rnacentral:rRNA from 1 species
UACGUAGGGGGCAAGCGUUGUCCGGAUUUACUGGGCGUAAAGAGCGUGUAGGCGGCCAAACAGGUCCGUUGUGAAAACUGGAGGCUUAACCUCCAGACGUCGACGGAAACCGUGUGGCUAGAGUCCGGAAGAGGAGAGUGGAAUUCCUGGUGUAGCGGUGAAAUGCGCAGAUAUCAGGAAGAACACCAAUGGCGAAGGCAGCUCUCUGGGACGGUACUGACGCUGAGACGCGAAAGCGUGGGGAGCGAACAGGAUUAGAAACCCGAUAGUCC